rnacentral:miRNA from 1 species
AGGUUUAUGAUCGUAACAAU